UUCCUUGCCUAGGUAGUUCCUGCUUCCUUCUUUCCUUAUCUUUCUCCUGCUCCACCUCCCGGCCUCUCCUUUCUCUUCACCUCAUUCUGCACCCCCUGUGCAGCUGAUAGGAGGUGGGGCAGGGACUGCCCAUGAUCAGCAAAACCAUUUCUGGUGCAGCGAGAACAGAAGACCAGACAGCCCAGCAGCCAUGGCCUCAGCGACUCCUGUACAGAAAAUCCAAGAGGAAACCAAAUGCCCCAUCUGUCUGGAGUAUCUGACAGAUCCAGGACCACACACUGUGGGCACAACUUCUGCCGACGCUGCAUCACUCAGCACUGUGAGACAUGGGAAGAGCAGGACUCGGACCCUUGUGCUGAGCCCGAAUCCAGAAAGGGGCUCUCCUGCAUAACUCUCAGCUAGCAAAUAUAGUGGGGAAAAAAAUCAAACAACUGGAUUUCAAACCAGGAAAAGAGAAUCUGUAUGAGAGACACGGGAAAGCCCUGGAUCUGUUCUGUGCAGAGGCCAGGGAAGCCAUGUGUGUGGUUUGUGAGAGAUCCCCAGAGCACAGAUCUCACCCAAUGCUUCUCUUGGAGGAGGCUGCCCAGAGAUACAAGACACUCUGCCGUCUGCACUGGAGACAAGAAGAGGGGAACUCCUAGGAGCACACAGACAGGGUGUGAGAAGUUCCAGCAGCCAGAGGAGAUUUCACCUGAACUGGAAGAGCGAGUCAGCAGUUUCUCCAAGAAAACUAUUGCACUGUUGGAGACUUUGAGGAAGUUCAAAGAUAUUUAGAAGAAAUCUAGGAGGGGAAAUUGGGAUAAGCAUCAGACUGUGGGAAGAGAAUGGGUCUGGUCAAUUGGUUCAUGAUUAGAUUUUGCUUCUAUUUCAUUGUUGGGUGAGAAUGUCACACACUUGGAGUCCAAGACACUCAGAUGGAUUAAUUCAAACCUUUGUUCCAAAAGCAUGU